rnacentral:rRNA from 1 species
GACGAACGCUGGCGGCGUGCCUAAUACAUGCCAGUUGAGCGCUGAAGGUUGGUACUUGUACCAACUGGAUGAGCAGCGAACGGGUGAGUAACGCGUGGGGAAUCUGCCUUUGAGCGGGGGACAACAUUUGGAAACGAAUGCUAAUACCGCAUAAAAACUUUAAACACAAGUUUUAAGUUUGAAAGAUGCAAUUGCAUCACUCAAAGAUGAUCCCGCGUUGUAUUAGCUAGUUGGUGAGGUAAAGGCUCACCAAGGCGAUGAUACAUAGCCGACCUGAGAGGGUGAUCGGCCACAUUGGGACUGAGACACGGCCCAAACUCCUACGGGAGGCAGCAGUAGGGAAUCUUCGGCAAUGGACGAAAGUCUGACCGAGCAACGCCGCGUGAGUGAAGAAGGUUUUCGGAUCGUAAAACUCUGUUGGUAGAGAAGAACGUUGGUGAGAGUGGAAAGCUCAUCAAGUGACGGUAACUACCCAGAAAGGGACGGCUAACUACG